GGAGCACCUGCAAAGUCAUUUGGGCCUGGAUAUACAGGGCAGGGAGAAUUUUGGAGGCAAAAAUGCAAUCUGCCACAUCUACGUUAGUGAAGUCAGUUUUUCGUACAUGACUACCAAGACAAAGCACUUCACUUACCAACUCUAUUCAAAUAAAUGGAAAUUAUUCAACCUAAAAUUAUGCAAACAUUGCUCCCCUUGUGCCAAAGAACUGCACCAUGUCUGAUUGGCUUUGCAGGUCUGUGUAAUUCGGCUGAUAGCUGGAUGAUAGUACCCAACAUCAAGCAGAACCACUACACGGUGCACGGUCUGCAGAGCGGCACCAAGUACAUCUUCAUGGUCAAGGCCAUCAACCAGGCGGGCAGCCGCAGCAGUGAGCCUGGGAAGUUGAAGACAAACAGCCAACCAUUUAAACUGGAUCCCAAAUCUGCUCAUCGAAAACUGAAGGUGUCCCAUGAUAACUUGACAGUAGAACGUGAUGAGUCAUCAUCCAAGAAGAGUCACACACCUGAACGCUUCACCAGCCAGGGGAGCUAUGGAGUAGCUGGAAAUGUGUUUAUUGAUAGUGGCCGGCAUUAUUGGGAAGUGGUCAUAAGUGGAAGCACAUGGUAUGCCAUUGGUCUUGCUUACAAAUCAGCCCCGAAGCAUGAAUGGAUUGGGAAGAACUCUGCUUCCUGGGCGCUCUGCCGCUGCAACAAUAACUGGGUGGUGAGACACAAUAGCAAGGAAAUCCCCAUUGAGCCUGCCCCCCACCUCCGGCGCGUGGGCAUCUUGCUGGACUAUGAUAACGGCUCUAUCGCCUUUUAUGAUGCUUUGAACUCCAUCCACCUCUACACCUUCGACGUCGCAUUUGCGCAGCCU
rnacentral:sRNA from 1 species